AGUGGCGGACGGGUGAGUAACACGUAAGAAUUUGCCUUUAGGAGGGGGACAACAGCUGGAAACGGCUGCUAAUACCCCAUAUGCUUUCGAGUGAAAUGGAUUUCCGCCUGAAGAGAAGCUUGCGGCUGAUUAGCUUGUUGGUGAGGUAAUGGCUCACCAAGGCGACGAUCAGUAUCUGGUUUGAGAGGACGAUCAGACACACUGGAACUGAGACACGGUCCAGACUCCUACGGGAGGCAGCAGUGGGGAAUUUUCCGCAAUGGGCGAGAGCCUGACGGAGCAAUCUCGCGUGAGGGAUGACUGCCUAUGGGUUGUAAACCUCUUUUUUCAGGGAGGAAUUAAGGACGUGUACCUGAAGAAUAAGCAUCGGCUAACUCCGUGCCAGCAGCCGCGGUAAGACGGAGGAUGCAAGUGUUAUCCGGAAUCACUGGGCGUAAAGCGUCUGUAGGUGGUUUAAUAAGUCAACUGUUAAAUCUUGAAGCUCAACUUCAAAAUCGCAGUCGAAACUAUUAGACUAGAGUAUAGUAGGGGUAAAGGGAAUUUCCAGUGGAGCGGUGAAAUGCGUAGAGAUUGGAAAGAACACCGAUGGCGAAGGCACUUUACUGGGCUAUUACUAACACUCAGAGACGAAAGCUAGGGUAGCAAAUGGGAUUAGAUACCCCAGUAGUCCUAGCCGUAAACAAUGGAUACUAGAUGUUGA
rnacentral:rRNA from 1 species